GACGUAGGGCGCGAGCGUUUGUCCGGAUUUAUUGGGCGUAAAGAGCUCGUAGGCGGCUUGUCGCGUCGACUGUGAAAACUCGGGGCUCAACUCCGAGCUUGCAGUCGAUACGGGCAGGCUAGAGUUCGGUAGGGGAGACUGGAAUUCCUGGUGUAGCGGUGAAAUGCGCAGAUAUCAGGAGGAACACCGAUGGCGAAGGCAGGUCUCUGGGCCGAUACUGACGCUGAGGAGCGAAAGCGUGGGGAGCGAACAGG
rnacentral:rRNA from 1 species